rnacentral:rRNA from 1 species
GAACGAGAAAGUGGAGCAAUCCAUGAGUACAGUGGCGACCGGUGUGAGUAACACGUGACUACCUACCCUUGAGUGGGGAAUAACUCCGGGAAACCGGGGCUAAUACCGCAUAAUAUCGAGAGAUCAAAGGAGCAAUCCGCUCUUGGAGGGGGUCGCGGCUGAUUAGCUAGUUGGCGGGGUAAUGGCCCACCAAGGCGAAGAUCGGUAUCCGGCCUGAGAGGGCGCACGGACACACUGGAACUGAAACACGGUCCAGACUCCUACGGGAGGCAGCAGUGGGGAAUUUUGCGCAAUGGGGGAAACCCUGACGCAGCAACGCCGCGUGGAGGAUGAAGUCCCUUGGGACGUAAACUCCUUUCGACCCGGACGAUGAUGACGGUACGGGUGGAAGAAGCACCGGCUAACUCUGUG